AGUGAACGCUGGCGGUAGGCCUAACACAUGCAAGUCGAACGGCAGCACAGAGGAGCUUGCUCCUUGGGUGGCGAGUGGCGGACGGGUGAGGAAUACAUCGGAAUCUACUCUGUCGUGGGGGAUAACGUAGGGAAACUUACGCUAAUACCGCAUACGACCUACGGGUGAAAGCAGGGGAUCUUCGUACCUUGCGCGAUUGAAUUAGCCUAUGUCGGAUUAGCUAGUUGGCGGGGUAAAGGCCCACCAAGGCGACGAUCCGUAGCUGGUCUGAGAGGAUGAUCAGCCACACUGGAACUGAGACACGGUCCAGACUCCUACGGGAGGCAGCAGUGGGGAAUAUUAGACAAUGGGCGCAAGCCUGAUCCAGCCAUACCGCGUGGGUGGAGAAGGCCUUCGGGUUGUAAAGCCCUUUUGUUAGGAAAGAAAUCCAUCUGGUUAAUACCCGGGUGGGAUGACGGUACCCAAAGAAUAAGCACCGGCUAACUUCGUGCCAGCCGCCGCCGUAA
rnacentral:rRNA from 1 species